GAUGAACGCUGGCGGCGUGCUUAACACAUGCAAGUCGAACGGGAAUUAUUUUAUUGAAACUUCGGUCGAUUUAAUUUAAUUCUAGUGGCGGACGGGUGAGUAACGCGUGGGUAACCUGCCUUAUACAGGGGGAUAACAGUCAGAAAUGGCUGCUAAUACCGCAUAAGCGCACAGAGCUGCAUGGCUCAGUGUGCAAAACUCCGGUGGUAUAAGAUGGACCCGCGUUGGAUUAGCUGGUUGGUGGGGUAACGGCCCACCAAGGCGACGAUCCAUAGCCGGCCUGAGAGGGUGAACGGCCACAUUGGGACUGAGACACGGCCCAGACUCCUACGGGAGGCAGCAGUGGGGAAUAUUGCACAAUGGGGGAAACCCUGAUGCAGCGACGCCGCGUGAAGGAAGAAGUAUCUCGGUAUGUAAACUUCUAUCAGCAGGGAAGAUAGUGACGGUACCUGACUAAGAAGCCCCGGCUAACUACGUG
rnacentral:rRNA from 1 species